GAGUUUAAUCCACUGUAAGUCAGUAGUGACAUAGACAUGCCCGACUGCACCUAUUGUUUUUGUGAGUCAUGAGGUUUGACACGUGGAUAAAAAAAAAGACAGUGGAUAACGUAGUUAUUAGCAAGGCGUUUUGGCUAAAAGAUAAGGGAAAAUGGGAGAGAGGACCAGAGGCAGGGGGGGAAUUAGUGUUGAAUUUGGCUGAAAACGAAGGUAUAAUGACACUCAACUGAUCCUUGGGAAACUAGAUAACAACUCAUCAUGAUGCUAUUUCACGCUUCAGCUCCGGUUCUUUUCAACAGAAUCUCAAGGAUUCUUGCAUGUGUCUGUGUCAGCAACAAUAGUGGAAAACAUCUUGCAACUACAGCCACAGGCUUGUUAGCAGCUGCUGUUGUGAUAACCUCAGGUGCCACUGAAGAAGCAGAAACGCUAUCUAAUAUACCCCAGGAACUAGCCGGAGAGUGCGCGGCGGCGAAGGAUUGCACGAAGCCUAGAAUCCAAUGACCCAUAUCGAGGAAAGCCGAGUCCUGCACUAUUAAAUGUGUCACCACUUGCAUCAGGGGAGGUGAAGGUUCCCCUGGUGAAGGCCCUUUUAAUGUCAGAAGACCUUUGGUUGUUUUCAAGGAAGGGUUUCGAAGCCGUCGAUAUUGGUAAACAUGUUCUUCAGAUACUAUAACUUUCCGGUUAAAUUUUGGGUUUCUUAAUACCUUUUAACCAGAAGAACGCAUAGGAAUAGGAAUCAACAGAAAAUUAUACCAGUUCCUUGUUAACGUACAUGCAAUAUUUCUGCAAAAAUCAAAGUUGGAUCUAGCUUCACUUAAGCUAUACAAACUCAAGGAGGAAUUACUGAACUGUUGUAGCUUAAGCCUGGAUAAGGAAGACAUGUUUUACACAAGUUGUUUUAUCAAUUACAUUUGUUGUUGUGCAGUUUGCUGGAAUGUUCUGAUAUAUGUAAUUUGAUUUGAGAUGGAGAUGAUGGUCCUUGAAUUGUGUAUGAAUUCUUCAUUGACAAAAAGUGAAAUUUAUUGUUCUAAGUCUUCCUUGCAAAGAAGGAAAGGCUUCUUUUUCAGUAUCAGAUUCAAAGGGUGUAAUGCCGAGCACAUCUCAUUUCAAUUUUUCCUGAAGUAUAUCGUAGCUUGUAAAAGAUCCUUGGGCAUAUGUAUGAAUAUAUACACUUUUUGUACU